UUCUUAUCCCUAAAUGAAAUUGAAAAAUGGAGAGAGAGACUGAAAAAGGAACAGAAGUAUCGACACUGGGUUAAUUCGUGUGCUUUCCUCCAUCGCCGAUCACCACUGUCGUAACCGUUGCCAUCGCCGACAGUCGCCGUCCAUCAUCCUACUCCUUGGACCUCAUUUCCAUCCAAUCCACCUCAGAUCCGCAUCACUGUCAUCGUUUGUUCAUCUCAGAUUUAUGUCGCUAAGGUCUUCCAGCCACCAUUACUGCUCUUGUUACAACACCACACCUCCGUCGCUUGUACCGCCGCCGUUCUUGCAUGUAGAUGCACAAGAUCGCCGCUGUCGGUUCAAGCAGAGGCCUCCUCUACCUUGGAAAGAAAUCAAUUACUCGUUAUAAUCCUCUUAAAAGGAGAGAGGUUUGCAAGGGAGGAAGAGAAGGUGGCAAGAAAUCAGCCUAAUCACAAGCCUCCACCAAGGCUUCUUCAGCACUGAAAUCUCACUCUUAUCCUACUCGAUGAAAUGAAGUGCGGUCUGCAAAUGCUGCUGCAAGUCAAGCUGCAAAGAGGCCCUCUUCUUUUGGUGGCCCUACUCAUGAUAAAAAGGUGUAUGUCUUUUUUUUUCUUUUUCUUUUUUUUUUACAAUCUAAAUUUUAUGAAAGCAAUAGUAAAGUGUAUUUAUCUUGACUAAUUCAAAAUCAAUGUCGAUAACUGAGCUAAAGCUAUCCAUUGAUAGACUCGAGAAGGAGCACGAUUUCUACUUUGCAAAAUUGAGGAAAGUGUAAUGUGGUGGGAAGUUCAAUGCUUUAAUGUAUUCAUUCAUUUAUCACUCUAACAUAAGUGAUAUGUUAUUUGAUACUGCUUUGUAUAAUGUAUUCAUUCAUUUAUCAUUCUAAUAACUUGUGACUUGGAAGACAUGUCUUAGAAUUUGAAAUCUCACAAGCAUUCCAAGGAAAAACCUGAUAAGGGGCCUUGCAAAAAUUGUUCCCGCUCUUGCUGCUGGAAACUCCAUUGUGCUCAAGCCUCCAACUCAGCUUCACUUGUGGAGACACCGGCAUUGCAAUUUCAAAGAAGGCAAUGGAGUUGGGAGGAAAAGAUGCAUGCAAUGUAUUUGAGGAUGCUGAUCUUGAUCUUGGUUCCUUAAAACUCAAGGAUAUAACGGUAGCCAUGAUGAAUUAAGAUAUGAACCCUACCCAUACACUCAACUUGCACAAGUGGAAGGAGACCAUAACCGAGUCGCUGAGAUAUUAGUUAAUUUAUUAAUGAAUGUAUAUACUUACACAAGCUUAUAGGCUUGGAGUAUUUUUUGUUAUUUAGAUUUGUAUCAUGAUUUAUUACUUUUCAAAAGAAAUUUAUGUAUUAAUAUUUUGAGUUUAAUGAAAUAUCUCAUUUUGUAGUAA